UUGACUAGAUGAAUUUUUGUUUGAGGUGAUGAAAAGGUCAGACUAAUCGAGGCCCUUAUAAAUUUAAAUAAAAUAUGCACUGCUUAGUGCAUCUUAUCAUGAGCAUAUCCUGAAAAAAUUAGCAAAAUUGGUUAAUUAUUUAAUUAAUUACAAGCAAUUUAAAAAAAAAGUUUAGGACGGUAUUUCUCGAAAUUCGCUUUUUUGCAAAUUUUCAAUUAGUCUUUUGGGGCUGAAAUUUGAAGAUAUGACUUGGGGGCUGCUUUAAUUUUAACAUUUAAACCCUUUUUAACAUUAAAUAUUCAUUCGUUUCUUAUUUUUUAAUCAUAAAACCAAAAUAUUAGCAAACAAAAAUAUCCCCCGAAAUACGAAAAAUCUAAUAUUCACCAUAGGUUUGUACAGUGUAGGCCAAAAAAUAGGUGCUCUACAAAAGUUCUUUAAAAAAACAUUUUUACAUUGAAGCCACAGAAUAUACCAUACUCAAAUUGAUCUUUGAUAAUCCAGGCCUACUUUCCUGCAAUUGGUUUUUUAUUAAUUGUUAUGCUUUUUCCUUAAAAAGUGAUACAAAAAUUAAUUUUUCCCAUCAAUUCCCGCCAUUGGUACUUUUCUCACGUAGAGGGAGCUUCACACAAUAACAAACGAAUCAAAGUAACAGUAGAAACUAAACAAACAAAAGUAGAUUCAUUCCAGCGGGCAGUCAGCUCUUAUUAUUCAUUUAAAUGAAAAUUCAUGCAAAGGACCUGGAAAAUCUGCAGAAAUAAACCCUAGGACUACUCUGACCAACGGAGGUUGGUGGUUUGGCAGUUGAAGGCUUAAGAAACUUGCUGACCAUCCUGGGUACAACCCCAACAGUCAAUGCCUCUAGCUUCGACAGGCACAUAGCCACUUUUAAAUCGAUAUCUCAAGAGACCAGCGAGGAACACAUGAAGAGGGCGGCGGUAUGCCUACAACAAAGGGCAAUGGACAAGGACCCGACCAUCAGG